rnacentral:rRNA from 1 species
UACGGAGGUUGCAAGCGUUGUUCGGAAUAACUGGGCGUAAAGGGAGCGCAGGCGGCUUGGUCAGUCUAAAGUGAAAACCCAGGGCUCAACUCUGGGCGUGCUUUGGAUACUGCCAGGCUUGAGUACGUGAGAGGAGAUUGGAAUUCCAGGUGUAGCGGUGAAAUGCGUAGAUAUCUGGAGGAACACCGGUGGCGAAAGCGGAUCUCUGGCACGUUACUGACGCUGAGGCUCGAAAGCGUGGGGAGCAAACGGG